UUGUCGCAGAUACAUGAAGAGGCGCUGUGCACCCAGUAACUUGUGAAAUCAACACAUCGUUGGGGAACACCGUCUAUGCUUUGCCCACGUUGUCUCAACUCCUGAGUAUUACUGCCGUUAUGAUGAGGAUCUCUACAGCACUUAUGCUUUUCCUCUCGAUUACAUUCACUCUGGUAUCUGCCACCGAAAUCCGUCCCGCAUGUAAACCAUCGAAUGUGCAGAAUGUUCAAAUGCUGACGAAUGCGCUAAUCAAAAUCAUGUCUGUCAAGCGCCUGAAAUUUGCCAUAAUACGCUGGGCGGAUUCAAAUGCAGCUCUUCACGAAAACCGACAUCUCGGGCGUUUACCUCCACUUCCCCCACUCUUCGGAUGACAACAGGUUCAAUCACAUCAACUCCGUGGCCUGGUACUCUCCGCAUGUAUUUGACAAGCAACAAGUCCUCAAAACUGAAUACAGGCUCAACUAGCAGUACCGUAUUGAUAUAUCCAACGGAGGUCCCUCUCAUCACAGCGUUCACUCAACCCUCAGUGCAAGCAUCCGCUCUCGUGCCAAUACUAAUCGCCAUUUUUGCAGUUUUGAUCCUGCUGACGUGCUGCUGUGCUGUGAUAUCGUUCUAUUUGCUACGCUCGGGCAAGAUAUUACCAUACUCUACGUCAAACUUGGUUACACACAUUCGAAGAGUUCACUCUCAAGGCGCUAGGCCCUCCGAGAGGCCAGCCGCAAGCAAUUGGGAUGACGGGAUGAGGCGCGAAUCGCAGCUCUCCAAUGUCUCUAUUCGUACAACAGAAGCGACUGAAGAGGCUGUAGCAUAUUCUGCCUCAGGCCCUGCUGGUCCGGUGACAUCUCGUCGCCUUUCCACCAAAUACAGGUUUGAGGAUUCCUGCGCCAGCGUGUCAAAAAGAAUCGGAGCAACUGAAGAAGUACAGACUUGUUCUUCAACAUUUCAAAGCACUGCCAAGCAUGGGGAUGACGUAAGAGGUGGGAGUAAAAUGGAAGGGCAACAACUCAAGCAUGAUGAAGUUUUGAUCGGCGGAAAGGCUGCACAUUCUCCAAACAAACCACCUCACCUCGACAUCUCUCGUGUAAUUCUGCAGACACGAAAUGCCACGGUGGGACACGCUUCGGCGGAGAAGAAUGAAAGCGAAGAUGCAGUGUUGGAUAUCUUUGCAUUGCCAAUGGAAAAGAAUCCGGCCUACGAGAUGGCAAUGGCUAAAGAGGAUGGCGCAACUGGCAACACGGAAGACGGACCAGCAAGUACGAUGGCAUCCACAGGUGAGCGUGCUGCGCUCCCAGGAUUAGACCUGCCAUCGAAGAGCACGCGCGUCCCUGUGCAUGCCGCCUCGACUACUCAAAGAGUAGGUCACCCAGAUGACGUCAUCUCCAGUCAGCCAAUCUACACAGCGCCAGACAAGUUGCAGUUCGCGUGCAAGGAUGCGUCAGCGGGAGCAACUGGCCUAGGGUUAGGUCCACAGCCGGCGGGCACGGUUAUCUACGAUGAAGUCAUAUUGAAAGUGAACAUUGGUGGAAAUCCAAGUUCAGCUGACAACAUAAAUUCCUCGCUAGAACCCACAAUUUACGCGGGAGUUAAGAAUCUAUCCAAAGCAAGGUCAGAGUAACUUCGGCCACCAUUUGAGCCCUCUCUUCCAGUAGCUGGUAUGGUCCUGCUCGCCUAAAGUCGCCGUCAGAACAAUCUCCGUCUAGGUCUAAAGGUUCAGCCUUCAGCACGCAUAUUGCGACUUGUUCGUAAAUUAGCAUCUUCUAUUUCUUGUUAGUGCCUUAGAGGAUUCACACAGGACGAAUUACAUUGUUGCUAAAUAUAAGACUGCCGUUCUUGUACCACCUGCAUUGUUUUACUUCGUUGCCCCCCUCCUUCUCCCACUCCCACCCCAACGAGCGUUAUACAAACAAUUCCAAAGUACAAAGUAUAGUCCUAAGCACGUUUGAACAAAGCAUACUGCGACCUAAUUCCUUCCAUUUUACCCGCUAGGAUUCCAAAGCACACAAACAUUCUGAAGUUUUCAUUCGCUGCUAUGUUUACUUAUGGAAUCUUGUCUGAUUGGCUGGUUUGUAAAACAUGGAUAUACUAGUGAAGUGGUAUGCUCCAUGGCAAUGGAUGGAACUUUAUGUGUUGCUCGCUGGCUGAUUCGAGGGUGACAUUGUAUUUCCCAUUUAAUUGCCAAUAUGUAUUAUUAGGCGUGAAAAUUUCAGCCUGAUAAAUGACCAUUGUUUUGCUUUGUGUCUGAUUCCAGGUGUAGACUAAGCCAAUGUGUUGUAACCUUUUUUCAACUUUUUCUCUUAGCUUGAUCCUAAUGCGCCUUCCUGUCACGCAUCCAGUACUUUUCAUCAUUCAUUCAGAAUUCAUUUCACUGGCUUACAUGUUCACUUCUUUCCAUUAAGCAUUGUUUCAAGGUCAGAGAGCGAAUUCAAUUUUCCGCUGGAUUUGGAAUCACGACAUCACGUGAAUUCG